UACGUAGGCAGCAAGCGUUGUUCGGAAUUACUGGGCGUAAAGCGAGUGUAGGCGGUUCGAUAAGUUUGGUGUGAAAUCUCCCGGCUCAACUGGGAGGUGCGCCGAAGACUGUCGAGCUAGAGUGUGGGAGAGGUAGGCGGAAUUCCUGGUGUAGCGGUGAAAUGCGUAGAUAUCAGGAGGAACACCGGUGGCGAAGGCGGAUCUCUGGGCCUUACCUGACGCUCAGGUGCGAAAGCUAGGGGAGCGAACAGG
rnacentral:rRNA from 1 species